rnacentral:rRNA from 1 species
GGUUAAGCGACUAAGCGUACACGGUGGAUGCCCUGGCAGUCAGAGGCGAUGAAGGACGUGCUAAUCUGCGAAAAGCGUCGGUAAGGUGAUAUGAACCGUUAUAACCGGCGAUGUCCGAAUGGGGAAACCCAGUGUGAUUCGUCACACUAUCGUUAACUGAAUACAUAGGUUAACGAGGCGAACCGGGGGAACUGAAACAUCUAAGUACCCCGAGGAAAAGAAAUCAACCGAGAUUCCCCAGUAGCGGCGAGCGAACGGGGAGCAGCCCAGAGUCUGAAUCAGCUUGUGUGUUAGUGGAACGGUCUGGAAAGUCCGACGGUACAGGGUGAUAGUCCCGUACACCAAAAUGCACAGGCUGUGAACUCGAAGAGUAGGGCGGGACACGUGGUAUCCUGUCUGAAUAUGGGGGGACCAUCCUCCAAGGCUAAAUACUCCUGACUGACCGAUAGUGAACCAGUACCGUGAGGGAAAGGCGAAAAGAACCCCGGCGAGGGGAGUGAAAAAGAACCUGAAACCGUGUACGUACAAGCAGUGGGAGCACCUUCGGGUGUGACUGCGUACCUUUUGUAUAAUGGGUCAGCGACUUAUAUUCUGUAGCAAGGUUAACCGUAUAGGGGAGCCGCAGGGAAACCGAGUCUUAACUGGGCGUUAAGUUGCAGGGUAUAGACCCGAAACCCGGUGAUCUAGCCAUGGGCAGGUUGAAGGUUGGGUAACACUAACUGGAGGACCGAACCGACUAAUGUUGAAAAAUUAGCGGAUGACUUGUGGCUGGGGGUGAAAGGCCAAUCAAACCGGGAGAUAGCUGGUUCUCCCCGAAAGCUAUUUAGGUAGCGCCUCGUGAACUCAUCUUCGGGGGUAGAGCACUGUUUCGGCUAGGGGGUCAUCCCGACUUACCAACCCGAUGCAAACUACGAAUACCGAAGAAUGUUAUCACGGGAGACACACGGCGGGUGCUAACGUCCGUCGUGAAGAGGGAAACAACCCAGACCGCCAGCUAAGGUCCCAAAGUCAUGGUUAAGUGGGAAACGAUGUGGGAAGGCACAGACAGCCAGGAUGUUGGCUUAGAAGCAGCCAUCAUUUAAAGAAAGCGUAAUAGCUCACUGGUCGAGUCGGCCUGCGCGGAAGAUGUAACGGGGCUAAACCAUGCACCGAAGCUGCGGCAGCGACACUAUGUGUUGUUGGGUAGGGGAGCGUUCUGUAAGCCUGUGAAGGUGACCUGUGAGGGUUGCUGGAGGUAUCAGAAGUGCGAAUGCUGACAUAAGUAACGAUAAAGCGGGUGAAAAGCCCGCUCGCCGGAAGACCAAGGGUUCCUGUCCAACGUUAAUCGGGGCAGGGUGAGUCGACCCCUAAGGCGAGGCCGAAAGGCGUAGUCGAUGGGAAACAGGUUAAUAUUCCUGUACUUGGUGUUACUGCGAAGGGGGGACGGAGAAGGCUAUGUUAGCCGGGCGACGGUUGUCCCGGUUUAAGCAUGUAGGCUGAUUGUCCAGGCAAAUCCGGAUAAUCAAGGCUGAGGUGUGAUGACGAGGCACUACGGUGCUGAAGUAACAAAUGCCCUGCUUCCAGGAAAAGCCUCUAAGCAUCAGGUAACAUCAAAUCGUACCCCAAACCGACACAGGUGGUCAGGUAGAGAAUACCAAGGCGCUUGAGAGAACUCGGGUGAAGGAACUAGGCAAAAUGGUGCCGUAACUUCGGGAGAAGGCACGCUGGUGUGUAGGUGAAGCCCCUGCGGGUGGAGCUGAGACCAGUCGAAGAUACCAGCUGGCUGCAACUGUUUAUUAAAAACACAGCACUGUGCAAACACGAAAGUGGACGUAUACGGUGUGACGCCUGCCCGGUGCCGGAAGGUUAAUUGAUGGGGUUAUCCGUAAGGAGAAGCUCUUGAUCGAAGCCCCGGUAAACGGCGGCCGUAACUAUAACGGUCCUAAGGUAGCGAAAUUCCUUGUCGGGUAAGUUCCGACCUGCACGAAUGGCGUAAUGAUGGCCAGGCUGUCUCCACCCGAGACUCAGUGAAAUUGAACUCGCUGUGAAGAUGCAGUGUACCCGCGGCAAGACGGAAAGACCCCGUGAACCUUUACUAUAGCUUGACACUGAACAUUGAGCCUUGAUGUGUAGGAUAGGUGGGAGGCUUUGAAGCGUGGACGCCAGUCUGCGUGGAGCCAACCUUGAAAUACCACCCUUUAAUGUUUGAUGUUCUAACGUUGGCCCCUUACCGGGGUUGCGGACAGUGUCUGGUGGGUAGUUUGACUGGGGCGGUCUCCUCCCAAAGCGUAACGGAGGAGCACGAAGGUUAGCUAAUCCUGGUCGGACAUCAGGAGGUUAGUGCAAUGGCAUAAGCUAGCUUGACUGCGAGCGUGACGGCGCGAGCAGGUGCGAAAGCAGGUCAUAGUGAUCCGGUGGUUCUGAAUGGAAGGGCCAUCGCUCAACGGAUAAAAGGUACUCCGGGGAUAACAGGCUGAUACCGCCCAAGAGUUCAUAUCGACGGCGGUGUUUGGCACCUCGAUGUCGGCUCAUCACAUCCUGGGGCUGAAGUAGGUCCCAAGGGUAUGGCUGUUCGCCAUUUAAAGUGGUACGCGAGCUGGGUUUAGAACGUCGUGAGACAGUUCGGUCCCUAUCUGCCGUGGGCGCUGGAGAAUUGAGGGGGGCUGCUCCUAGUACGAGAGGACCGGAGUGGACGCAUCACUGGUGUUCGGGUUGUCAUGCCAAUGGCACUGCCCGGUAGCUAAAUGCGGAAGAGAUAAGUGCUGAAAGCAUCUAAGCACGAAACUUGCCCCGAGAUGAGUUCUCCCUGAGACUUUAAGUCUCCUGAAGGAACGUUAAAGACGAUGACGUUGAUAGGCCGGGUGUGUAAGCGCAGCGAUGCGUUGAGCUAACCGGUACUAAUGAACCGUGAGGCUUAACCUU